UGGUGGAUCAAGGGAGAAAGAGAUUAAAAAUCGCCUCCAAGAUUCUUAAGAGGGACAAGCUUGCUAGGCUUACGCUGUAUUGCAUUGAUGAGUGCAUGGCGAAGCUGGAGAGGCUUCCCGAUGUUAUGCAUGAAUGCAUUCUUGCUACAGGAGAGAUAUUUAAACAUGAGAUGAAUCGAUAGUUCUUCAUGCAUUAUGAGGC
rnacentral:lncRNA from 1 species